GCUUUCGUGGUGUAAUGGUCAGCAUAUUCGUUGUUUAUUCGAGAGGUCCUAGGUUCGAGUCCUGGCGAUAGCA
rnacentral:tRNA from 1 species